CACGUAGGGGCGAGCGUUGUCCGGAAUUACUGGGCGUAAAGGGCGCGCAGGCUGUUAUGCGAGUCUGCUGUGAAAUGUACCGGCUCAACCUCUGUCUGUCGGCGGAUACUGCAAAUCUAGAGUAUGUGAGAGGGAAGUGGAAUUCCUGGUGUAGCGGUGAAAUGCGUAGAUAUCAGGAGGAACUCCGGUGGCGAAGGCGACUUCCUGGCACAAGACUGACGCUCAUGUGCGAAAGCUAGGGUAGCGAACGGGAUUA
rnacentral:rRNA from 1 species